rnacentral:tRNA from 1 species
AUUUAAAUAGUUUAGUAAAAAUUUUAAUUUGUGAAAUUAAAGAUAUAUAUAUAAAUUAUAUUUUAAAUA